GGGGAUCACAAGUGACGAGAGGCAUGUGUGCACUUGUGACUAUCACCACCACUUGGAACCCUGCUUCCAAGGAGGGAAGAGGGACAGCUGAGCUGACUCCGUGCUGCUGGUCUGCCAAAGAAAAGGGACAAAGGCAGAUACAGAUUGGAGGACCACGCCUACAGAGAUUUUUAAAAAAUAAGUGUGGAAGGGUCCCCAGAAGGUGUGUUGUCAAAUAGCUUCUGAUAUGUACAAGAAUUUAGAAGCCAUUGCUACGUAACUGGAGUCUUCGAAAUGUGGAGAGCACAAAGGGAAAAAGCUGAAUUAAACUAUGUGAAGACAGAGGUAACUUGCACCUUUGGGGACUAUAAGCGGGGGAACAAAUCUCCAAGGUCACUGGAGAUUUGCCUUCAUUUAUGAAGCAGCAACUGCAUUUGGUCAUUGGAAGGUGGGGGUGGGUUUCCUAGCUGAGAAGUCUCUUCCAGGAGAUCUGACGUCAGCGGAAUCAAGCCUGUGCGAGAGCAGGCAUCCUGCUGGGAAGGGCCCUGGUAAGGGAGUUACGACAGCCUCAGUUUGUAUCCAGCUCCACCACCUAAUGGUUAUGUGCCCUGGAGUCAAGGGUCCUUGAACUCUUCAAGCCCGGGUUCUUUUCUGUAUAAUAAGCAUAAUACUCACCUCACUGUUGUAGGGGUUAAAUGACCAAGCAAAACACUCACGCUUAGGGGAGUACAGUGCCUGGGAGGUGAGGGCAGCUGCCUAGGGCACCCACAAGCCCCAUCCACCCCCGGGCACUCUGUGACACGUGUUACGGAGCACACCUCAGCAACUCCAGCUGGUGGUUUACCAGGAGGACUAUCUUUUCUAGUAAGCUCCUGAUCUGUCACUUGAGAAGCAUUCAUUCUUCACAGUCCACUUCAGAGAAAGAGUCUGUGCCUCCCUUUCUCUUUCUACCACACUUCAGGAACUUGCAGAGUUUGCUGAUGACUUCCAUGGACCUUUUAUCCUAUCAGCUAUGAAUUUUCUGGCUCUCUCCUAUGUCAGGUCCUGCGAACAUUUCCUCCCUCUUGAACCAUCAGCCCUUUGCUCCCAGGAAUCCUAGGAGCCUUUUGAGCUCUUCUCCUUCCCUGCUGGUGGCCCCUUCCUGGUUAGUGGCCUUCACCACUCCAUGCCCAUCAGCACCCCCCAGGACUCUGUCCUUAGCCCCCUGUCCCCCUUUGAGCUCUUCUUAAGUUAUUUCAUCCCAUCAUGGUCUGUGACCCCUGCAGGCUGAUGCAGCCCUCUUUAUAUUAACUAGCCUUCAGCUUCAUAUCUCAACUGUCUCCUGGGCAUCCACUCUGGGCAUCUGUAAAAACUGUAUGUCCAAAGUUAUAUAAAUCAUCUUCUCCUGCACCUCCUGCCCCGUAAUACAUAUCCCCACAAUGACCUUAUCUUCCUCCUUAUGGCUAACCUCUAUUAAUGGGGUCCCCACAUAGCCAACUGCCAAACCGGAAAUCCAGCCAUCAUCUUCCCUCUUCUCCCACCAUCUUUACUCCUUCCCUAAGCCUUGCUAAUCAGGGCUCUCUCUCAAAUGCGUUCAGCCUGUCUCUAAUCCUCCUACAUGACCUCAGCAUCUUUACCUGAACCACUGUGACAUAGCGAUUAAACUACCUGGUGUCCAGUCUGCCCCUCACCGUGACUACCUUUCCCCUCCUUCCCGUUCAUGACCUAGGAGGACUACAUUGUGGUCUCCCUAAACCAGAAGCCAUUCCAUGCCCGUUGUCCUCCCUCAUGCCAUUCCCCUUCCAGAGAGCACCCCUCCCUGCUGUCUUCACUUGGUGUCUCUUAUUCACUGUAGGGGAUUGAAAGGUGGUCCCCCCAAAAAUAGGUCUGUCCAGAACUUGUAACUGUUACCUUAUUCAGCUAAAGGGUCUUUGCAUGUGUAAUUAAGUUAGGCAUCCUGAGAUCAUCCUGGAUUAUCCAGGUGGACCCUAAAGUGUUCUUAUAAGAGGAGAGACAUGGAGCCAUGUGAAGACAGGCAGAGGCUGGAGUGAUGCUGCCACAACCAAGGGAUGCCUGGGACUACCAGGAACUGGAAGAGACAAGGAACUGCAUCUCCUCCAGGGCCUUCAGAGGACACAUGGCCCGGCUAACAUCGUGAUUUUGAACCUCUAGCUUCCAAAACUGAGGAAAUACACUUCCAUUGUUUUAAGCUCCCAA